rnacentral:rRNA from 1 species
UACGGAGGAUGCAAGCGUUAUCCGGAUUCAUUGGGUUUAAAGGGUACGUAGGUGGCCUUGUAAGUCAGUGGUGAAAACCUGCCGCUUAACGGUAGGCGUGCCAUUGAUACUGUGGGGCUUGAGUACAGAUGAGGUAGGCGGAAUGUGUAGUGUAGCGGUGAAAUGCAUAGAUAUUACACAGAACUCCGAUUGCGAAGGCAGCUUACUAAACUGACACUGACGCUGAUGUACGAAAGCGUGGGUAGCGAACAGGAUUAGAUACCCUGGUAGUCCACGCCGUAAACGAUGCUCACUGGCUGUAUGCGAUACACUGUAUGCGGCCAAGCGAAAGCGCUAAGUGAGCCACCUGGGGAGUACGCCGGCAACGGUGAA